rnacentral:rRNA from 1 species
GACGAACGCUGGCGGCGUGCUUAACACAUGCAAGUCGAACGGAAAGGCCCUGCUUUUGUGGGGUGCUCGAGUGGCGAACGGGUGAGUAACACGUGAGUAACCUGCCCUUGACUUUGGGAUAACUUCAGGAAACUGGGGCUAAUACCGGAUAGGAGCUCCUGCUGCAUGGUGGGGGUUGGAAAGUUUCGGCGGUUGGGGAUGGACUCGCGGCUUAUCAGCUUGUUGGUGGGGUAGUGGCUUACCAAGGCUUUGACGGGUAGCCGGCCUGAGAGGGUGACCGGCCACAUUGGGACUGAGAUACGGCGCAGACUCCUACGGGAGGCAGCAGUGGGGAAUAUUGCACAAUGGGCGGAAGCCUGAUGCAGCAACGCCGCGUUCGGGAUGACGGCCUUCGGGUUGUAAACCGCUUUCGCCUGUGACGAAGCGUGAGUGACGGUAAUGGGUAAAGAAGCACCGGCUAACUACGUG